rnacentral:rRNA from 1 species
UACGUAGGGUGCAAGCGUUGUCCGGAAUUAUUGGGCGUAAAGAGCUCGUAGGUGGUCUGUCGCGUCGGCUGUGAAAACUCGGGGCUCAACCCCGAGCCUGCAGUCGAUACGGGCAGACUUGAGUGCGGUAGGGGAGACUGGAAUUCCUGGUGUAGCGGUGAAAUGCGCAGAUAUCAGGAGGAACACCGGUGGCGAAGGCGGAUCUCUGGGCCUUACCUGACGCUCAGGUGCGAAAGCUAGGGGAGCGAACAGG